AUGCAAGAUUAAUUCACAGUCGAUUAAAAAUCACUGAGCACUACUCAACAAAGCACAUCAAUAAUUUUACUAAUUGUUCAAAUCAUUAAUCCUAAAGGAGCUCAUCAUGAUAGCUCCACUAAAAACAGACCUUCUACAACAGCGAAGCCAGCUGUUAACCAUUACUCUUACCCUUGUCCUGACCCAAAAUCAUCUCUUCUGUCUUCACCUGCCUUGGAAAUGCAACAUCUCCACUGAAUAUUUGAUUCAGACUUGGCUCUUUAAGAACAAUUUCUGUGCAAUAAGUAGCACAAUACAGGGAUAGGAAAACAGGUUUAUCCUACUAACUUGAUUUGAGCAAAUGAUUUAACUUCUAUGGAAGCCAGUCUCCUCAUUUGUAAAAUGAAGAGCAGUGGUGAAGGAUGUAGUUAUAUAAUGCAGGUAAAGUGCAAAGCCCCAAACCCAGCAUGUAUCAGGGACUUAACCUCAUCCAUUUGUUCACCAAUAUUUACUCUGAUAUUUAUUCAUCCCUCUGCUGUAAUUACUGUGCUAGACACUGAGGAUGCAGCAGUGAAUCAGGCAAGCAUCCUCCCCUCAUGGAGCUUACAGUCUUUUGGGGUAUACAAGCAGUAAAUAUGAUUACUGUAAAUAAACUGCUAUGAAGAAAAUAUGCCAGGGGUAUGCUAGUAACUGAGGAGAUGUGGCCUGCAUUGAACAGCAUGGUUUUGGGGAAGGUGAUCUGAGCCGAGACCUCUCAAAGAUAAAAUGCCCCUUUCUAGUGAAAAGUUGGGGAAUGGGCAAGCCAGGCAGAGAGAAUAAAAAGUGCAGAGGCUUAAAGACAGGAGAAACAUGUGGUAGCCCAGGAGCAGAAGGAGGCUGAGUGGCUACAGUGUUAUGAGAGAGUAAGCCAGGAGCGCCUGUGGGAAUUGGCACCAGAGAGGUCCUCAGAAGCCAGGUCUUCAAGGUCAUGGACACAUGGGAAGGAGGGAUUUGGAAUUUACUGCAAGAACAAUAGGCAGGGUUUCAAGAAGCCAGGGUCAGUUAUGGGCUGACUUGCAGUCUUCAAUGUGGAAAAUGUUUUGCUAUUGGCAAAGUGGCAAGGGGGAGGCCAGUUAGGACACUAUUGCAAUAGGCAAGGCAAGAGAUGAGAAAGGAUUGAAUGGGGGUAAGAGCAGAGAGAAGUGCGCAAGAUCCAGUGCAUGUGCUGAGGGAAGACCGGCAGGACUUGCGUAGUUAGAUGUCUGGGGAAGAAAGGAUUCAGGAUGACUCCCGUAUUUUAUAUGUCCGUAGUUUGCUCUCCAUUAUGAUAACAUCUCGGGCUCUUUACUUUUCAUGCCCUGCUUCAGGAUCUUCGCACCUGAUAUUUCCUCUGCACACAAUACUCCUCUAGAUGUUGGCAUUUCCUUCGAUAUCUUCUCAAAUGUCUCCUAAUCAUCCUAUAAAACAGCACCAACCCUCUAUCCCAAUCACUCUCCUUGCCUUAUUCAUCUUCAGAGCAUGUAACUACUUGACAUUGGUUGAUUUGUCUGUAAUUGUCUGAUUCCCACAGCAGAAAUUUCAGCUCCGUGACAGCAAAGGUUUUGUCUGUCUGUUCACUGUUACAGCCCCAUAACCUAAAACCAUGUGUGGCAUAUAUGUCUUGAAUGAAUUAAUGAGAAUACAAGUGAAUGAAUGAAAUGCUUUGUUGCUAUAGAUCUUGUCUAUAGAUGACUACCUUUCUGGUCAAGGCUUUGGACAUCUCUUCAGUCAUCAGACAGAGUAUCUCUGCUCUAGACCUCGCUGGAGUUCAAGCUUGAAUUAUUAUAUGCAAGUUAAUUUUACAAGCCUGGAUGAGGCUACUGAAAACUGGAAAAAAGCUACGAGACUGUAACAACCCUUCAUUCUUUUUCAUUUCCAAAGCUCUCUCCCCAUCUCAAGCUAGAAAAUAGUGUAACCAGACUACACAAUGGAACCACUCCUAAAAAAAUUAAUAUUAGCCUCUCAGCUUUUAUCUAAAUGUACCACAGUUUAAGAGCCUUGUAAAAUUUGUUCCACAACUUUACUAUAGGAAACCUUAUUAUAGAAGGGACACCACAGAACUCAAUGGCCCACACAUCAAAGUCCUCGAGUUUAGGACUGAAGAAAAGUCUGCUUUUGUAGAAAAUGUGUAUGCUUCAUGUUCUCUUUUACCAGACAAUGAGAAUAACUCAUACUGAUUCCUCAUUUUUCCUUGACUUCCAGGAAUGUCUGUGAUAAAUUCAGGGGACAAUUGCGAGAAUUAUCCUCAGCCAUAAGUCCCUCACAUGGUUAUCACCUGUCCAUUAUGUAUCUUUUUGUCCUUCAUUUUAACAUUUCUUUUAUACAUGGAUCUUAAA
rnacentral:lncRNA from 1 species